CAGUCUACUAUCUCCUACUGCUGUCCCAUGUCGGACCUCAAUUCCUUAAGCUAUCCACGCAACUCUACAGUGUACCUUCUUAUCCUAUUUUUCAAUGGCUGAAUAUCUUCACUUCAUGUGGAGGUUCUCCCUGGGAGCUACUGAACUCUGCCUGCCAUCAGUUUGUUAAUCCUGUGUUCUUAUGUUUUGUAGCUCGCAGGCACAUUAAUAUAGUCAGUAAUGCAUCUGAUUUGCCUUUUUGCUGCUUUCCCUUCAAGUGCAUCCACUUUGUGCUGUUUUGUUGCUAAGUAAUAUUUCUCCUCACCUGCCAAAUACCUCAAAUAUGGAUUCCGCAUACCUUUACUUCUACGUUUGUUUCCCCUGGCCAUGACCAUUAAUGGCCUGUCUUAAGUUCAGUUUCUCUAAUGUGUUUGUCGUUUGGAAUGUUUCUUUACUAUUUAGGCCAUAUUAACCAUUCCGUGUCAACGGGCAUCUCCGUUUGCAGACCUUUGCUUAUCUCCCACUGUGUGGUUCCAAUGUUCAGUUAAUGUCCAGGUUAUCAAAUUAUGUUCCCUUAAAGCAUUUUGUACAUUAUGUCCUCUUUCCUUAACUCUUUCUCCUACUUUUUUCAUUCCAUUUUACACAUGCAAGGGCUAAAAUCUUAUUUUGUUAAGUUUGCAUGGAGAAUCUUUACAGUCCAAUAAAGUAUUCUCAUAACAGUUUUGAAACAGAAAUCAUGUAUUGACAUGUUUUGAUUCCUUAUCUUCUUCUCAAACAACAUCUAAUUUUCUCUAGAGUAAUCCUACUAUAUUCUUAGAAUUUCCAUAAGCUCACUAACACUGCCAAAAUUGGAUUUCUGCCUAGCUUUGUCAAGGUCUUGAGCUUAACUUCAUGUUUUGGCAACAGACUUACAAAUAGAAAAGCUUUUAGCAUUGGAAACAAUGGACAUUGUUGUCAAAAACCCUAUAAAAUGAAAAUUCCCUUUCGAGAACUUUAUCACGAACUAAAAGUCAAAACUUUAUACUUUGUAAGAACUGUAAUUUAUACCAUGAAAAUUAACACUAUUUAUUCCUCAUGUGUAUUAACUUAUAUACAUAUUAAAGGUCCCAUAUGCUUAUCGACACCUUAUUCCUCUUAGAUAGCAUCCUGGUGAUUCAAAAGUAACCUUCUAAAUUACACACUCAUUACAUUUCAAGCUUUGUCCUAAAUUCAGAUAACACUGUUGUUGGAAUGCAGAUUUCCUUUCACAUUUAAUUCAUCUCAUCAAAACAAACCGCUUUUUAUCCAUUCAAACCACUUAGUCCAUGUGCCUGUGCCUUUGGUUUUCCUAUAACCCUUUGAACUUCAGGUAUUUUGUUCCCUCAGAAUUCUAAAAUGCCAAAUCUUAUCAGUUGAUGGAGGUCGUAUUCAACACUCCCAAUCAGCUUGGAGGCUGGUGAUGCUAGUCUACAAAGGGGUGGUACAAAGUUGUAUUUAUUUCGGGGAAAUAUUAAGUUGCAGAAAUCGGAGUGGGAAGUGACAGAGGCACAGAGAUGGAUUUUCCGAUGGUUAAACAACUCAAUUUCGUAUUUACUGUGUGAAAGAGUGAUACCUUCCCCUUAAAAGCAAGAUAACUCAUUCAAGCUUCCUGCCUUGAAACUUCUCAAAAUCAAUCCUUUGAUGCCGCGUUUGGAAACAGAAUAAUUUCUCCAAUUUAAUUAGAUCAUGCUGGUUUCUUAGAAACUGAACAAACUGAAAAAGCCAGUGAACAACAAAUUCAGGAAAGUGGUUGAAAUGCUAUAUAAUAAAAAACAUGAUUUUUUUGCGAGGAAAAACAGGGCCUUCAGCUCAUGGGCAUUAACUGGGUUUGGUUUCAUUCAGAUGAAAGCAAAAUAUAGAUGAUUCUGGAAAUUCAAAAUAAAAACAUAAAGCGCUGGAAAACUCAGCAGGUCUGCCAGCAUCUGUGGCGAAAGAAACAGAGUUAACGUUUCGUGUCCAUUUGACUCUUCAUCAGAGCUGGCCUUUCUCUUGGUUGGCCUGGACAUCAGCGUUGUGGAUCUGCAUUCAAAGAACAAACAUGUUAAGAUACAACGCCAUUCUUACUGCCAAGAGAAACAGUCGUCCAUAUUUAUCCGAACAACCAAAUUUAAAUUGAUAGAAAACUCGAUCAGAUCACCUUCAUUCUUCUAUACUCAAGACAAUCGUAAAUGGCAGGAGCCCUGAAACGGAAGAAUAUGCAAGAGACCAGGGAGAAGGUUGAGGAGGGACAGGGGUUAAUUUUACCUUCAGAGUGCCGGCACUGACACGAUGGGCCGUGUGUCAUUCUUCUGUGCUAUAAUCAUUCUAUGAGUUAUGAGUACAGAACGUUCCGUUUAUGUGACCCACUGAAAACCACAAUCUUAUUAGUGAAUAUUUACUGUUUCCACCCUAAGUUCAUUAUAAACCUGGCCGUUCCUCUGAGGCGUGUCUGCAGGCACAUAAAUAAUAGGAGUUGGUCUAUCAUGCAUUUGUCUUCACGGAUUCAAAAACUUUCAAUAGCUUCUUGGCAACCCUUCCUCAAUUGUGCAUAGCUCCAAUCUAUACUCCUUAUUUAACGAUUCGCAUAGAACCCUGGUAUUUUCUGAUGCCUGCCUUGAACCCCUGAGCAUCCACAGCUCUCCUGGGUCUGGAAUUUAGAAGAUUCCCAAUCAUUUGAGUGAAAACAUUUUUCCACAUUUCACGGCUAAUGACUGAUGCCUUCUUCGGAGAAUCUGGCAACAAGUACUGGAAUCUAGCCUUAUCAACCUUGUGUCGGACAUAUUCACAGUCAUUGAUGGUGGUGUAGUUCCGAACAUGGCUGCUUUGCAAGCAAUUAAGCCGCCCUCGAGUCCCGGUUAUCGAGGAUCUCUGAACUCGUAACGAGUCACAUGGAAGGCCCAAGUGUCCAACUGAACUCAUUUGAGUUGAUCUUAUUUUAUUUCCAAAAUGCAUUCGAGUGUAAUUCAAAUAAAAAUACAUUCAGCUCAAUUUUAAAAAUAACUCAGGCUUGUUCCUUGUUGAUAAUAAUGAUGCUUUUCCGUGAACUGUAAUGUGAAACCUGAAUAUCAUUAUUGUGAUAACGGCAGAAAGUGCUGGAUAAACUCAGCAGGCAAGGCAGCAACUGCGAAGAGAAAAAAACAGAAUUAAUGCUUCGAAUCCAGUAUGACUCUUCUUCGGAACCAGAGAGGUAGAAAUAUGAUGGAUUUUAUGUUGUUACAUUAAUGGGGAGGAGAAGGUGGAGCAGAAUAGAUCUGAUACUCGAUUGAGUUCAGAAAACUAUUAAUGAAAGCUAAAAUCAAAUCGUCUUGCUAAAUAUUUCUGUUAAUGUCAUGUUAAAUGAAAAAUAAAAGCACGUUUUUUUUUAA